rnacentral:rRNA from 1 species
UACGGAGGGGGCUAGCGUUGUUCGGAAUUACUGGGCGUAAAGCGCGCGUAGGCGGCUUAGCAAGUUAGAUGUGAAAGCCCGAAGCUCAACUUCGGAAUUGCCUUUAAAACUGCAAAGCUAGAAUCAUGGAGAGGUGAGUGGAAUUCCGAGUGUAGAGGUGAAAUUCGUAGAUAUUCGGAAGAACACCAGUGGCGAAGGCGACUCACUGGACAUGUAUUGACGCUGAGGUGCGAAAGCGUGGGGAGCAAACAGG